ACUGGAAAUACCCAUAAUGGAUCAAUUUUACCUUCUGCUAAUUGGAAGACAGUCAUCCAAGGCGCUCUGAGAAGCUCUGUGGAAGGACACUACUGUGCCAAGUUUAUCAUCACAGAAGAGUGCCCCAAGGCCAAAUGUUAGUUGGUGUUGCUUCGAUGCCAUAUUAUUCAUUUUAAAAGGUCCCACCUGGCCCGAGAUCCAGUGUGUGACAGAGUUGGGUAAAAAGAGAGAUCUCAUAGGCCUUUGCCCAAGCCAGCCAACUAGCAAAGGAAGAGCAAGAGGAAGUAAUCCUCACACAUGCUGAUGGGUAAGAUGGCCCCAGGGGAGUCACAGAGAGAAAUCUCCAGAUGGGAAAAUCAUUUGCAUAUUCUGGGUAGACUGAGCUUCCUCUCCUUCCCAAAAGGCCUAGCAGUGGGCUCCUGGUCACACAAUGAACAUCUUGACUCAGGAAAUCUGUUUUAUUAUACACAGGCUGGCCUAGCUUUACUAUGCUUUUAAUAGAAUCACCAAAAACAAGCACAGCAUUUAAGUAAAAUUCAGGAAACCAAAUGUGGCUUCAAGACCAUCAUACCAUAGUUACCAUUUAGCCGCAACUGCUUUUCCAUCCAUAAGAAGACGUGUGUUAAGCACAAAGGCCAAACUAUGACUCCACAUUUCAUCCUUGGCAAAUAUAAAUAAAAAUUGGACUAUGGGCCAGUAAGUUUCUAUUUCAGAAUGUAGACUAAAAACAAGAAGUAUCAUGAAGAAGUAAAUGGUGCCAUGUGAUGGAGCAUGAUGUGGCAGAGCCCUGUGAUUGGUGAGCCCAGGCCAGAAGCAGCUCAGAGACAGGAGGCUGAGGUAGAAGAGGAAGCCAAUGGAAAGGGCCUCAAGAGCAAGGACUUAACUCCACCCACCUGAAGCCGACAAGGAAGGGGGAGUGGAAAGUGUUAUGGACUAGCUGGGAUGGAAUGUAGCUUUCACUCUUCGUGAAAUGGGGGUAUAUUGCGUGCUCUCAUGAUGGCAUCAUUCACAUGUCAAGUGUGUCUUUUCCUGAACUGUGCUAGAAGGACAUAGUGCUGUGUGGUGGACAGAGUGGCUUGUACAACAUUGCUUCCUUGCCCACAUGUCAAGAUGGGCCUGGAAGCAUGUGAAUGAAUAGAAUUAAAGACCUUCAUCUAGUUCGGACAAGAACUAAGAGAACUUAUAGGCUGUCUCCUUGGGUAAGACAGGCACUCAAUUAUUCCAAAGAAAUGAAACCUUUCUGAUACCUUUUAAAGAAAAAUACAAAGUCUUGAUUGAAUUACCUAUUUUUCUCCUUCCUGUGAUGGUCCACUUGGCUGGCUCAUGGUGCCCAGUUGUUUGUUCAAAUACCAGUUCAGAUUGCCCUGAAGAUGUUUUGUAGAUGAGAUGAAUACUGAGAUGGAUCAUCUUUCAGUAAUGCAGAUGAUCCUCCAUAACAUGAGUGGGCCUCACCUAAUCAUCUAACAAUCUUACAAGUGAAAACUGAGGUUCACUAGGGAAGAGAGAAUCCUACUUCCAGAACUGUUCCAACUAGAGAUUCAACAUGAGUUCUUCCCUGUCCUACACAGCCUUCCCUGUAGCUUUUAUCCUUGACAAACUGCAAGAUUCCCAAAAAUGUGUGUAUGUUUGUAUACAUAUGUUUUAUUAUGUACAUGUGUGUGCCUA